rnacentral:rRNA from 1 species
GACGAACGCUGGCGGCGUGCUUAACACAUGCAAGUCGAACGGAAAGGCCCUGCUUUUGUGGGGUGCUCGAGUGGCGAACGGGUGAGUAACACGUGAGUAACCUGCCCUUGACUUUGGGAUAACUUCAGGAAACUGGGGCUAAUACCGGAUAGGAGCUCCUGCUGCAUGGUGGGGGUUGGAAAGUUUCGGCGGUUGGGGAUGGACUCGCGGCUUAUCAGCUUGUUGGUGGGGUAGUGGCUUACCAAGGCUUUGACGGGUAGCCGGCCUGAGAGGGUGACCGGCCACAUUGGGACUGAGAUACGGCCCAGACUCCUACGGGAGGCAGCAGUGGGGAAUAUUGCACAAUGGGCGGAAGCCUGAUGCAGCAACGCCGCGUGCGGGAUAACGGCCUUCGGGUUGUAAACCGCUUUCGCCUGUGACGAAGCGUGAGUGACGGUAAUGGGUAAAGAGGCACCGGCUAACUACGUG